GGGGCUAUACAUGCAAGUCGAACGCACUCUCGUUUAGAUUGAAGGAGCUUGCUCCUGAUUGAUAAACAUUUGAGUGAGUGGCGGACGGGUGAGUAACACGUGGGUAACCUGCCCUAAAGUGGGGGAUAACAUUUGGAAACAGAUGCUAAUACCGCAUAAAACCUAACACCGCAUGGUGUAGGGUUGAAAGAUGGUUUCGGCUAUCACUUUAGGAUGGACCCGCGGUGCAUUAGUUAGUUGGUGAGGUAAAGGCUCACCAAGACCGUGAUGCAUAGCCGACCUGAGAGGGUAAUCGGCCACACUGGGACUGAGACACGGCCCAGACUCCUACGGGAGGCAGCAGUAGGGAAUCUUCCACAAUGGACGAAAGUCUGAUGGAGCAACGCCGCGUGAGUGAAGAAGGUUUUCGGAUCGUAAAACUCUGUUGUUGGAGAAGAAUGUAUCUGAUAGUAACUGAUCAGGUAGUGACGGUAUCCAACCAGAAAGCCACGGCUAACUACGUGCCAGCAGCCGCGGUAAUACGUAGGUGGCAAGCGUUGUCCGGAUUUAUUGGGCGUAAAGCGAGCGCAGGCGGUUUCUUAAGUCUGAUGUGAAAGCCUUCGGCUCAACCGAAGAAGUGCAUCGGAAACUGGGAAACUUGAGUGCAGAAGAGGACAGUGGAACUCCAUGUGUAGCGGUGAAAUGCGUAGAUAUAUGGAAGAACACCAGUGGCGAAGGCGGCUGUCUGGUCUGUAACUGACGCUGAGGCUCGAAAGCAUGGGUAGCAAACAGGAUUAGAUACCCUGGUAGUCCAUGCCGUAAACGAUGAGUGCUAGGUGUUGGAGGGUUUCCGCCCUUCAGUGCCGCAGCUAACGCAUUAAGCACUCCGCCUGGGGAGUACGACCGCAAGGUUGAAACUCAAAGGAAUUGACGGGGGCCCGCACAAGCGGUGGAGCAUGUGGUUUAAUUCGAAGCAACGCGAAGAACCUUACCAGGUCUUGACAUCCUUUGACCCCUCUAGAGAUAGAGCUUUCCCUUCGGGGACAAAGUGACAGGUGGUGCAGGGUUGUCGUCAGCUCGGGCCGG
rnacentral:rRNA from 1 species